rnacentral:tRNA from 1 species
GCGGACGUGGUGAAAUGGCAGACACGCUGUCUUCAGGCGGCAGUGGGGCAACCCGUGUGCGUUCGACUCGCAUCGUCCGCACCA